GCUGUAGCGGUGCGGGGAUGGAGGGGCUAAUCGGACUGGUGAACCGGCUGCAGGACGCCUUCGCGGCGCUGGGCCAGAGCUGCCUGCUCGACCUGCCGCAGAUCGCGGUGGUUGGUGGGCAGAGCGCCGGCAAGAGCUCCGUGCUCGAGAACUGCGUCUCCAGGGAUUUUCUUCCACGAGGAUCUGGAAUUGUAACAAGAAGACCAUUAGUUUUACAACUUAUCACUGCCAAAGCAGAAUAUGCUGAGUUUCUACACUGCAAAGGGAGGAAGUUUACAGAUUUUGAUGAAGUUCGUCAAGAAAUUGAAGCUGAAACAGACAGAGUAACAGGAAUGAAUAAAGGCAUUUCUUCAAUACCUAUUAAUUUAAGAGUAUAUUCGCCACAUGUGUUAAGCUUGACCCUUAUUGAUUUGCCUGGAAUCACUAAAGUGCCAGUAGGGGAUCAACCUCCAGAUAUUGAACAACAGAUAAGAGAGAUGAUUAUGCAAUUCAUCUCUCGAGAAAACUGUCUGAUCCUGGCUGUGACUCCAGCCAACACUGAUCUUGCCAACUCGGAUGCAUUGAAGUUAGCUAAAGAAGUAGACCCUCAAGGACUUAGAACCAUUGGUGUCAUCACAAAAUUGGAUCUGAUGGAUGAAGGAACAGAUGCCAGAGAAAUUUUGGAGAACAAGUUACUCCCUCUUCGUAGAGGGUAUAUUGGAGUUGUAAACCGAAGUCAGAAAGACAUUGAUGGCAAGAAAGAUAUUAAAGCAGCUCUGCUGGCAGAAAGGAAAUUCUUCCUUUCCCAUCCAGCCUAUCGGCAUAUGGCAGAUCGGAUGGGAACACCAUAUCUGCAAAAAGUUUUAAAUCAGCAACUCACCAAUCACAUUCGGGAUACAUUGCCAGCCUUCAGGAGCAAACUUCAGAGCCAAAUGCUUUCUAUAGAACAUGAAGUGGAGGCAUACAAAAAUUUCAAACCAGAAGAUCCAACUAGAAAGACCAAAGCUUUACUGCAGAUGGUUCAACAGUUUUCAGUGGACUUUGAAAAAAGAAUUGAAGGAUCAGGGGACCAGGUUGACACCUUAGAACUGUCUGGUGGUGCCAAAAUCAAUCGCAUUUUCCAUGAGCGUUUUCCUUUUGAACUAGUAAAGAUGGAAUUCAACGAGAAAGAACUGCGGAGAGAAAUUAGCUACGCAAUCAAAAAUAUACACGGUAUCAGAACAGGUUUGUUUACUCCAGACAUGGCCUUUGAAGCUAUAGUUAAAAAACAGAUAGUGAAGCUGAAAGGGCCUUCCUUAAAAAGCGUGGAUCUGGUGAUGCAAGAGUUAAUCAACACUGUCAAGAAAUGCACAAAAAAGUUGGCAACCUAUCCAAGACUUUGCGAAGAAACUGAAAGGAUUGUUGCUGGCCAUAUUCGAGAAAGGGAGGAGAAGACCAAGGGACAGGUAUUGCUGUUGAUUGAUAUCCAGGUAUCUUAUAUCAACACCAACCAUGAAGACUUCAUUGGCUUUGCAAAUGCUCAACAGAGAAGCAGUCAGGUUAACAAAAGUACAGUUGGAAAUCAGGGAACCAAUCUACCGCCUUCAAGGCAAAUUGUAAUCCGGAAGGGCUGGUUGACCAUCAACAACAUUGGUAUCAUGAAAGGAGGCUCCAAGGAAUACUGGUUUGUUCUGACUGCAGAAAGCUUGUCCUGGUAUAAAGAUGAUGAGGAAAAGGAAAAGAAGUAUAUGCUCCCUUUGGACAACCUGAAAGUGCGGGAUGUUGAAAAGAGUUUCAUGUCAAGCAAACAUAUCUUUGCCUUGUUUAACACGGAGCAAAGGAAUGUUUACAAGGAUUACCGUUUCCUUGAGCUAGCCUGCGACUCCCAGGAGGAGGUGGAUAGCUGGAAGGCAUCUCUGCUGCGGGCUGGUGUCUACCCAGAUAAAUCCUCAGGGAACAACAGAGCUGAAAAUGAUGAGAAUGGCCAAGCAGACAAUUUCUCCAUGGAUCCACAACUGGAAAGGCAGGUGGAGACUAUUCGCAACCUUGUAGACUCCUACAUGUCUAUUAUCAAUAAGUGCAUCCGAGAUCUGAUACCAAAAACAAUCAUGCACCUUAUGAUCAAUAAUGUAAAAGAAUUCAUAAAUGCAGAACUCCUGGCUCAUCUGUAUUCCUCUGAGGACCAAAACACUUUGAUGGAGGAGUCAGCAGAACAGGCUCAGAGACGAGAUGAGAUGCUUCGCAUGUACCAAGCCCUUAAAGAAGCUCUGGCAAUCAUUGGCGAUAUUAGCACUACCACUAUAUCUACCCCUGCACCGCCACCUGUUGAUGAUUCUUGGCUGCAGCAAUCCAGAAGAUCACCUCCUCCAAGUCCUUCAACUCAGAGGAGGCCUACCUUAAAUAAUCCCCCAACCAGACCUUUACCUGGCCGAGGACCUGCUCCAGCAAUCCCAUCUCCAGGCCCUCAGUCAGGGGCUCCACCAGUCCCGUUCCGUCCAGGACCAUUACCCCCAUUUCCUAGCAGCAGUGAAGCCCUUGGAGCACCUCCUCAGGUUCCAUCCCGGCCAACACGGGCUCCUCCCAGCAUUCCAAGAUUCUCUCCUCACAUCUGGCCCAGAGAGUAUAAGUGAGCUCAUCAACUGAAUAAAGAAACCAUGUUCCACUAGAAGAAGUAAUGUCUUUCAAAAGCUCUAGCAGAAAAGCCGAAGACCACCCCCUUCACCCACUCGACCCGCUGUAAUUCGUCCAUUAGACUCAUCCCUGUUAGACUAAGUGAAGUUUCUGGCAUGCCAUUAAUUGCUAACUGAAUAUAUGGAAGCAACUUGCUUGAUAACUGUUGCAAUAACCAAUGUAUAGUCGCAUGUAUGGACACCUGUAGGCAAGUAACCAAUUUUACUAAUAUACUCUGUCCAUUCUGCAUUGCUUAUGAGGUCUCAUACAUUUUGGGAAGGUCUGGGGGGCCUUGAGUUUUCCUCUUGCAAACAGCUGAUUUAUUAGCUAAUUUAUUAGGAAACAUGUUCACCCAAAAGGUUGUGUAUUCAUAAUUCUGUAUAGUCAAACAAAGGCUUGCCGUACUGCGUGUUUGUGCUGAGAGUGACCAAAAUUCAGAUGGUUUCUAUAGGUGCCUACACUUAGAAGGUAGAAUCCUUAAGCAGAAAGAUUUGGCUUGAUUGGUUUAGGUGUCUAGGAUCCCUGUAAAGUCGAUGAGGAGAGUUGGAUGCCUCUGAAGAGUAAUCCAGGUUUGGGCCCUAAGGCCCACUAGACAGAGAAUGGGGAGAGAGGGGCUCAGAAAGCAGAGGUAAGUAGAGGUAGCCAAUGGGAAACGUACAAGCUCAGUCUCCCUCUUGCCCCUCUCCAGAGUUUAGGCACCUCUAUGUACUUGCAGUUCACAAAGCCUAAUCCUAUCCCUGAGGAUGGAGAAGGGAAUGGGAGAGCCCAGGACUCUUUCCUCCCAGGGAAGUACCCUUAGCAUCUACAGAGCUAGUUUCAGUGGCUGUGAGGGCUUAAAGUGUGCCUCUCUUUUUUUCCGCUCCAAUUUCAAAAGGACAUCUUGUUUUUAGAAAUAGCCUUCAGGGCUAUACAUCAAAUUGUUUAAAGAAAGUUUUUCUAUAAAUUGACAUUAUGUAGUUAUACACAUUUCCUUCCUCAAAGGCCAACUGGGCUGAGAGAAACAACGCUGUCUCUAAUUAAAGCUCCUGUAAAUCCCAUAACUGUGUGUGUCUUCAUGUCUCUCUCACAAGUCUGAUGGAUUGAUGCUUUCACUAUAAUUUCUCAACAUCAGAAAUGUAGUUUUGCAGAAUGUUGCUAAAGAAAAUAAUGCCAAGUAUGGCAUGGUGAGCUGUUUAAUUGGCUGUCCUCCACUGUAGACCAAUAAUGAAUAACUCUCUUGUUUAGUAAUUGACAAGGGCCAGGUUGUGACACACACUUGUAGUGGAUAGUAUUUCCACUUGGGAACACCGUAUAAAUUAGGACUGUCCAACUUCUAAGAGGCCGGGGGCCACACUAGUGCAAGACAUGGGCCCCCAGGCAGUACCCCCUACACACCACUAUACCAUGCCAUGGGCUUCCCUGGUGUUAUGGGAUGCACCACCCCACCACAUCCCCUGGGGCAGGAGCAGGAAGUGAAAACCCUUGGAGCUGGGGAGCCUAGAGACCCCAGUUGCAGCAUCAACUAGAUAGAUAAGGGGGCAGUGGCUCUGUAAAAGCCUAAGGGUUACACAUCAACACCUCAUGGGUUGCGUGCUGCCUCCAGGCCACCAGCUGGACAGCCCUGGUAUGAAUGAAAUAGACCAUGCCCAAAAUAGGCUACUAAUAUCUUAUGUUACCAUGAGAACUACAUUUUUACUCACAGAGUUCAGAUAUGCGGAUUUAGGUCUCAGCUUCCUCAAAGCUGAGUGUUGCUUGGUUCUGGGAUAUUGGUUCAUACUAAUCUUUCAUUUCAAUGGCAGUCAAUAUAACAACAAGACAAAGUUGCACUAAAUGAAGAUUUUGCAUUUGUAUAUAUGGAAAUCCUGUGCACCUCAGUAUGACAGCCCGUUGGCCCAACUAAACAAAUGAUGAGAAGUGACUAGUUAUGCAUCCUGGAGAUGUAUUAUUUUAACAGAGGUACAUUUUCAGGGGUUAUAUUUGCACAGUGCCUAAAUAUUUUAUCUUCAUUAGUUAGCCUGCCAUAUUAAAUAGUUGGGGUUAGUUUAACCCCAAAUGUAAAACAAAUAAAAUCAACAAAACUAAAACUAGAGAUUAAAUCAAUGCACAGUCUUUCAAAAAUAUCCAUUAUUGUUACUGUUUGUUUUUUUACAAUUACAUUUACAAUUCCCAAUGUAAGCCAUUGAUGGAUUUGAAGGCCACCAGUAAAAUCAAUCUAAGAAAUUCAUUUAGUAAGACACUAUAUAGUGCUAUAGUACAUAGUACCUCUGGUUGGGAAGAAUCUAGUCAGAGAAUUGUAACCAAUGGGAAUUUUGCCUAUUAAAUAUUCCCAGACUGCUGAUUAAGUAAUAGUUGUAUCCACCCCUAAAGCAAAUCAAGUUUCUACUACAUAAGAGGGCUUAACUUAGGAAAAGAGCAUGAUUUGUAUGUUAGCUUAAGUUUAAUUUCCUGUCAACCUUAUACUUGUAACAUGCACCUGUGGAGUCUAGAGGUCACCGUUUUAAGUACUGUGAAGAGGGAAUUUGUUAAUGUAAUAGCAUGUUGGUGAUCUUAGUGAAUUGCUGAAAUGGCCAAAGUUUAUUUGAAGAACAUGCUAAAACAUUAAACAACAAAUUUAUAAAAUCACAUUUAGUAAAAAGAUAUUAUGUGUCCUAAAUUCAGUUAUGCUGUUUUGAUCUAAGAAAGUAAAACUUUACAAUACAAUGGGGUUUGCUUUUUUGGUGGGGGGGCAGUAUUUCUUACACUGUAUGUAUUUAUGUGGAACUGCACUAGUAGAUGUACUGCAUGGUAGGGCUGUGCGAAGCGUUGGUCUCUGAUUCAAUUCGGCA